rnacentral:rRNA from 1 species
UGGGGAAUAUUGGACAAUGGGCGAAAGCCUGAUCCAGCCAUGCCGCGUGUGUGAAGAAGGUCUUCGGAUUGUAAAGCACUUUAAGUUGGGAGGAAGGGCAGUAAGCGAAUACCUUGCUGUUUUGACGUUACCGACAGAAUAAGCACCGGCUAACUCUGUGCCAGCAGCCGCGGUAAUACAGAGGGUGCAAGCGUUAAUCGGAAUUACUGGGCGUAAAGCGCGCGUAGGUGGUUCGUUAAGUUGAAUGUGAAAGCCCCGGGCUCAACCUGGGAACUGCAUCCAAAACUGGCGAGCUAGAGUAGGGCAGAGGGUGGUGGAAUUUCCUGUGGAGCGGGGAAAUGCGUAGAUAUAGGAAGGAACACCAGUGGCGAAGGCGACCACCUGGGCUCAUACUGACACUGAGGUGCGAAAGCGUGGGGAGCAAACAGG